UACGGGGGGGGUAAGCGUUGUUCGGAAUUACUGGGCGUAAAGGGCUCGUAGGCGGCCAACUAAGUCAGACGUGAAAUCCCUCAGCUUAACUGGGGAACUGCGUCUGAUACUGGAUGGCUUGGAUUCGGGAGAGGAGAGUGGAAUUCCUGGUGUAGCGGUGAAAUGCGCAGAUAUCAGGAAGAACACCCGUGGCGAAGGCGGCUCUCUGGUACGUGACUGACGCUGAGACGCGAAAGCGUGGGGAGCAAACAGG
rnacentral:rRNA from 1 species